CAGUCGCCGCGGUAAAACGAAGGGGGCUAGCGUUGUUCGGAUUUACUGGGCGUAAAGCGCACGUAGGCGGAUCGUUAAGUCGGGGGUGAAAUCCUGGAGCUCAACUCCAGAACUGCCUUCGAUACUGGCGAUCUUGAGUCCGGAAGAGGUGAGUUGAACUCCUAGUGUAGAGGUGGAAUUCGUAGAUAUUAGGAAGAACACCAGUGGCGAAGGCGGCUCACUGGUCCGGUACUGACGCUGAGGUGCGAAAGCGUGGGGAGCAAACAGGAUUAGAUACCCCGGUAGUCCCUGUCUCUUAUAC
rnacentral:rRNA from 1 species